rnacentral:rRNA from 1 species
ACGCUCGACACCUACGGGGGGCAGCAGUGGGGAAUAUUGCACAAUGGGGGAAACCCUGAUGCAGCAACGCCGCGUGAGUGAAGAAGUAUUUCGGUAUGUAAAGCUCUAUCAGCAGGGAAGAUAAUGACGGUACCUGACUAAGAAGCUCCGGCUAAAUACGUGCCGGCAGCCGCGGUAAUCUGAGCGGGCUGGCAAGGC